CAGCCACAUCACAUUGAAAUAUCAGUUCCCAUAAAAUCACCAAAGUUAAGCAAUAUUGAGCAUGGUCAGUACCUAGAUGGGUGACUGCUUGGGAAUACCAGGUGCUAUA